AGAGUUUGAUCCUGGCUCAGGACGAACGCUGGCGGCGUGCCUAAUACAUGCAAGUCGAACGAACUCUGGUAUUGAUUGGUGCUUGCAUCAUGAUUUACAUUUGAGUGAGUGGCGAACUGGUGAGUAACACGUGGGAAACCUGCCCAGAAGCGGGGGAUAACACCUGGAAACAGAUGCUAAUACCGCAUAACAACUUGGACCGCAUGGUCCGAGCUUGAAAGAUGGCUUCGGCUAUCACUUUUGGAUGGUCCCGCGGCGUAUUAGCUAGAUGGUGGGGUAACGGCUCACCAUGGCAAUGAUACGUAGCCGACCUGAGAGGGUAAUCGGCCACAUUGGGACUGAGACACGGCCCAAACUCCUACGGGAGGCAGCAGUAGGGAAUCUUCCACAAUGGACGAAAGUCUGAUGGAGCAACGCCGCGUGAGUGAAGAAGGGUUUCGGCUCGUAAAACUCUGUUGUUAAAGAAGAACAUAUCUGAGAGUAACUGUUCAGGUAUUGACGGUAUUUAACCAGAAAGCCACGGCUAACUACGUGCCAGCAGCCGCGGUAAUACGUAGGUGGCAAGCGUUGUCCGGAUUUAUUGGGCGUAAAGCGAGCGCAGGCGGUUUUUUAAGUCUGAUGUGAAAGCCUUCGGCUCAACCGAAGAAGUGCAUCGGAAACUGGGAAACUUGAGUGCAGAAGAGGACAGUGGAACUCCAUGUGUAGCGGUGAAAUGCGUAGAUAUAUGGAAGAACACCAGUGGCGAAGGCGGCUGUCUGGUCUGUAACUGACGCUGAGGCUCGAAAGUAUGGGUAGCAAACAGGAUUAGAUACCCUGGUAGUCCAUACCGUAAACGAUGAAUGCUAAGUGUUGGAGGGUUUCCGCCCUUCAGUGCUGCAGCUAACGCAUUAAGCAUUCCGCCUGGGGAGUACGGCCGCAAGGCUGAAACUCAAAGGAAUUGACGGGGGCCCGCACAAGCGGUGGAGCAUGUGGUUUAAUUCGAAGCUACGCGAAGAACCUUACCAGGUCUUGACAUACUAUGCAAAUCUAAGAGAUUAGACGUUCCCUUCGGGGACAUGGAUACAGGUGGUGCAUGGUUGUCGUCAGCUCGUGUCGUGAGAUGUUGGGUUAAGUCCCGCAACGAGCGCAACCCUUAUUAUCAGUUGCCAGCAUUAAGUUGGGCACUCUGGUGAGACUGCCGGUGACAAACCGGAGGAAGGUGGGGAUGACGUCAAAUCAUCAUGCCCCUUAUGACCUGGGCUACACACGUGCUACAAUGGAUGGUACAACGAGUUGCGAACUCGCGAGAGUAAGCUAAUCUCUUAAAGCCAUUCUCAGUUCGGAUUGUAGGCUGCAACUCGCCUACAUGAAGUCGGAAUCGCUAGUAAUCGCGGAUCAGCAUGCCGCGGUGAAUACGUUCCCGGGCCUUGUACACACCGCCCGUCACACCAUGAGAGUUUGUAACACCCAAAGUCGGUGGGGUAACCUUUUAGGAACCAGCCGCCUAAGGUGGGACAAAUGAUUAGGGUGAAGUCGUAACAAGGUAGCCGUAGGAGAACCUGCGGCUGGAUCACCUCCUU
rnacentral:rRNA from 2 species